rnacentral:rRNA from 1 species
GACGAACGCUGGCGGCGUGCUUAACACAUGCAAGUCGAACGGAAAGGCCCUGCUUUUGUGGGGUGCUCGAGUGGCGAACGGGUGAGUAACACGUGAGUAACCUGCCCUUGACUUUGGGAUAACUUCAGGAAACUGGGGCUAAUACCGGAUAGGAGCUCCUGCUGCAUGGUGGGGGUUGGAAAGUUUCGGCGGUUGGGGAUGGACUCGCGGCUUAUCAGCUUGUUGGUGGGGUAGUGGCUUACCAAGGCUUUGACGGGUAGCCGGCCUGAGAGGGGGACCGGCCACAUGACGACUGAGAUACGGCCCAGACUCCUACGGGAGGCAGCGGUGGGGAGUAUUACACAAUGGGAGGAAGCCUGAUGCAGCAACGCCGCGUGCGGGAUGACGGCCUUCGGGUUGUAAACCGCUGUCGCCUGUGACGAAGCGUGAGUGACGGUAAUGGGUAAAGAAGCACCGGCUAACUACGUG